rnacentral:misc_RNA from 1 species
AGAGAGAGAGAGAGGGAGAGUUUUUUGAUCGUUCAUGCUAAGAUAAUUUCAAGUCCACUACACCACAGGAUCCCCCUGUCAUGCUAAGAAAUCUACUGCUAUAUUGGAGCUCCUAGGGUAGUUGGUAGAAUUGAAAUAUAUGUUCUAGAUAAUGACCCAUACUCAGUUAGUAGUAUGGAAUAUAACUGCAAACCUCUUGCCCUUUCAAAAAUCUGAAUGGGACACAAGUUACAGGUCAUUUUUUAUAAAUGAAACAAAAUAUGCAUUAACUUUAUGCAUGAGCAAGUCACAACAAAUCCAGCCAAACUCUGAACAGAUAACCAAAAAAUCUCCACGGGUCUACAUAAUGCUCCAUCUCCAACCACUUGCAGACCCAAAUUUUCCAAGAUGAAGCACAACUAGAUGAAACAAAAAGCCUACCCUUGAAAGGCAGAUUGGAUUUCCUCUUUUGAGGUAAAGAUCCACCAACAAGAUUGAUGCAGAUAACAAAAUGUUUAACAAAAGCAAGUUUAAUAACCAAACAAUAUUUAUAUUUGUUCUCUUAACUUGAUUCUGGACCGGCUAGGGCCUGUAAUAUGAUAUCAUAAGUACUUGGUAAUGAUGCCUCAAAACCUUCCAUCCUCUUAAAAGUUUCAAUCAAUUUCAGUUUAAAUUUCAACCUCCGCAUGAUGUCUUUAGAAUUGUGCAAUGAGGAAUAGUUAUACAGAAUUUUUAAAGCAUUAUGCUUGCCAAUUUGUCAUGAACCCCAUUCUGACAUCAUAGGACCUCAGUCCUAAUGUGAAAUGCCUAGAAAUUUCCUAUCUUUUUGUGUCAAAAUUUCAAGCAGUUUUAUAGAUAGUAGCAACUUCCGCCACAUGAUGCCAAAGAAAUUCAGAAAAAUCACAAAACACAAAACUAAUAUCUUACGGGCUACCAAAACAAAUUA